GCGACUUUUGCGUGGCCGAGGAGUGUCGGAGGACAUCCUUUCACUUUUGGAGGAGCAGAGGAUAAAGUUACUGAUGGAGGGUGCAACUCAAACAGUGGCUGGAAAUCCAGAUUUGGAUGACUUGAUCAAGCUAUGCUUUAGACUUGAAUUCAGCAAUAAGGAAAUACUUGCAAUUUUAGCACAUAAUGCUCAAACUAUUUUAAGUAUUCGGACUCUGAAA